UGAAAUUCAACUUUUACUAUUAUUACUAUUAUUAUUACAGUUUUUUUUUUUUUUUUUUUUUUUUGGUUUUUCGAGACAGGGUUUCCCUGUGGCUUUGGAGGCUGUCCUGGAACUAGCUCUUGCAGACCAGCCUGGCCUCGAACUCACAGAGAUCCGCCUGCUUCUGCCUCCCGAUUAAAGGUGUGCACCACCAAUGCCCGACCUUAUUACAGUUUUUUGAGACACGCUUUUUUCAAGCUGUCCAGGAACUUGCUCUGUGGACCUGUCUAUCCUCAAACUCAGAGAUCCACCUGCCUCUGCCUCCCAAGUGCUGGGAUUAAAGUGCUGGGGGUCUAAUUCACUUCAGUGUCCUAGAGAAGUAUCCCACCACUGAGCUACAUUCUGACCUCUAAGGUGAAAUUCAACACAUACAACAUUUGGCGUCUGGACACCUCGAGCACAGCUCCUGGUCUGUGGAAUGCCAUUUACUGCUUACUCUCACUUCCCACUCCCCAGGCCCUAUCCCUGGUUCCUCCAUUUUCAUCUGCCCUUGAGCAGUGCUCGGCCAGAACAGGUUUUUAUCACCAGAGCCCUCAGCUCUACAACCGUAGUGACCUGACAGAUGAGAACUGUUCAGACCUUCCAUUACAGGGUCUCCCGCCCCUUCAACUACUUGUCACCCUUAUUCUGAAAGAAAAAUCGAAUCGAAUCGUGCUAAGCUGGGAUCCUUCUGCUUUAAAAUGCCAAUAGGAGGUGAACACACUAGGCACUCCUGGCUAACUCCAACUUCUUCUUCCUGCUCUGCUGUUUGUGAUGGGAACUUGAAAACAAUUUAUCACAGUAAUGAUUGCUGAUGCCAACACUCCGGUGACUGAUGGCCACGUUACCUGGAGCAUGUCUUCCUGGCUCUCUCUCCACUAAAGAAAUCUUGCUGAGGUUCCUGGCUGGCCUUGAACUUACUCAGUAGCCCAGACUGGCCUUGAACUUACCCUGCGUCUGCCUCCCAAGUACUGCAAGUUGGUGUCCAAAAGCCUAGUGGCCCUUUUGAGAAGCAGAAGAUGCAUCGGGCAAGUUAGUAACUGUAUGGAAA
rnacentral:lncRNA from 1 species